ensembl:lncRNA
AGCGAAUGCUGCCCAACUUCUACUGCCUACCGAAAGCUGUCCAGCAGCGCCGACCGCUCGCUACGUUUGUGCAUCGGGCGCGUCCUUUCCUUCAGUUCGUCCGGUCGUCGUCGCUUCUACCUCCGCUACAGUUGACAGUCGGUAAACAACAACUUUGAAUAAAUAAAAAAAAUCCUCGCACAGAAGAAGAAUUACAGCUGCGUAAACUGAACUUCCAUCCAGCCCUCCGGAGAGGGGACCGCGGGCAGGAGGCGGAGUCAACAGGUCGCAGAUUUAAGGAGCGGCCGUUGAUUUGGACCUGGAUUUCCUCGAAGGCAGGGAGGAGGAAGAGGUGGAGGAGGAGCACGAGGAGGAUUGACGUUUUUGGGUGGGGGCCAGGAACAGGCAGGCAGACUGGGGGCCAGGCCCACAACCCCGACCCCGGCAUCAUUUGUUUG